GAUCGGGUAGCGCAGAGGUCGUCGCGCGCGGACUCCAAUCCGUGAGGACGCCGGUUCGAUUCCGGCUCCGAUCC
rnacentral:tRNA from 1 species